rnacentral:tRNA from 6 species
GCGCUCAUAGCUCAGCUGGAUAGAGUGUCUGACUACGAAUCAGAAGGUCGGGAGUUCGAAUCUCUCUGGGCGCACCA